GACGAACGCUGGCGGCGUGCCUAAUACAUGCAAGUCGAACGAACCGCGACUAAGUGCUUGCACUCAGUCAAGGUGAGUGGCGAACGGGUGAGUAACACGUGGGUAACCUACCUCAUAGUGGGGGAUAACAGUCGGAAACGACUGCUAAUACCGCAUAGGACAUAGGAUCACAUGAUCCAGUGAGGAAAGGUGGCGCAAGCUAUCGCUAAGAGAUGGACCCGCGGUGCAUUAGCUAGUUGGUAGGGUAAAGGCCUACCAAGGCGAUGAUGCAUAGCCGACCUGAGAGGGUGAUCGGCCACAUUGGGACUGAGACACGGCCCAAACUCCUACGGGAGGCAGCAGUAGGGAAUCUUCCGCAAUGGACGCAAGUCUGACGGAGCAACGCCGCGUGAGUGAAGAAGGUCUUCGGAUCGUAAAGCUCUGUUGUUAGAGAAGAACAGCGCAUAGAGUAACUGCUAUGCGUGUGACGGUAGCUAACCAGAAAGCCACGGCUAACUACGUG
rnacentral:rRNA from 1 species